AAUUUUUAAGCUUAAUUGCCGUGAAUUUAUAGGUAAUAAUAAAUCUAUCUUUAUAUUCUAGAUCCUGGUCCUGGCUGAAAUUGAGAGUAUUGCAGCUGUAGCUUGUAUACCAUACAUUUAACAUGAAAAGGACUGUCAGGAUGCUGCAUACAGUGGUCUUAGCUAGAGCCUAGAAUGAAUAUUUCUUAGGAAUAUGCUGCAAGUAACUGAAGGGGAGCAGUUUUUCUUACCAAUCAUAGAAGCAGUAAGAGACAGCCAACGAAGUAUUCAAACACCAUCAUGAAACACUUAAGACAUACCAGGAGAGAUCUAGAAGAAGUACUAGUAGUACAGUGGAACAGAUUGCACUUGAACUGUCUUUUUUUUUGUUAAACAGUUAAACUUUGUUACUUUGCUUUAUAUUGAAAUUGAAGUAUGUUGAAAUGACAAUGAAACUUUAACGUUGUGCCAACGUUGAAUUUCAACGUUGUUUAAACUUUCAAAUCCGAAC